UAUGAUCUUUGCAAUAAUUUUCAACAAAAUAUGUAGUUUAACUAUAUACAACAUUCAUUGUUAAAUGAAGCUUUUGGAGCACGUACCCUGCCUCCAAGGCGACAAAAGUUGGCACACCACCAAAAAACGGAGAACAAGAUGAUGUUUUAAUUUGCAUUGCGACCGUUUAACAAGGUAGACGGACACAGACUAAAUCCGUGCUUGCACAAUGCCGGCGUUUACACCAACACAAUUACAACAAUUAUAACUUGCAGGCGCACGUCAUUUACAUGGCCGCUCUUUGCUUAAUGGCCCUUGGUUGAGUACCCGUCCAUUCAUUUUAGCAGCUGCAAGCCGCAGGGCAAACGGCAAAAUAAGCUCAGCUUGUCGAAAUAUUUUCUCCCACGCUCACGCAAAAGACAAAAUAAUUAUUUACAUCUAUUCCCUAUGUUCACUUCACUUCAUUAUAUAAACAAACAAAAGACGAAAGGUAAAGAAUUUACAUUUCAAUCGGAUAUAGAAAUGCGAAACACAUCCAGACGACUAUGAAAAAAAAUUUUAUUGCAUACGGUAAAUAAUUAACAAAAAGUAGUUAGUCAAAUAGAGAUUGCAUAAGCUAAGAACGGGGUGUGUCUUUACACACAAUACAACCGAUUAGCAGAGCAGACGCGCACAGACUAAACCGCGCCUGAGCUAAGAUAAAAUUACCCCUACGCUCUCACCAUCCACAAUGCGCUCAGCUGGAUAAAAAGGGAUCGAAGGCAUACGCGCUAAUGACAUGAGUUUAGUAGACAUUAGAUACUAGAAAUCUCUUAAAAUUCUCUCUUUUGUAUGAGAUGGCUGAAAUGGAAUCAGAAGCAACGGCGCAUAAACAGGAAUAGAAUGAACGAGUAUUUCCAACGCUGACACCACUCACAAUAUCAAUUGUCUGGAUAGAUGCUCUCUGGCCGUGUGGUUAUCCGCAAUGUAGAUGUUAAUAUUAAAAAAAAAAAACUAUAUGAGAUGUAUGGAUGUAGGUAUAUGCUGUGCAUACUCGAUAAUCUAAGAUCGCUGGAAUAUUGUCCUACUACGAUAUACUGUAACGCUUUAUACUGCUUAAUGUCAGGAAAACGUUAGUUGAAGAGUAUUAAAAUUAAAAGAUACGCAACCAAAACAAAGUUGGAACUUAAAAA